ACAUGGAUUUGAAUUUAUGGCAGGCCUGUCCUGCUCGGCCUCUCAUUGUGUCGCAUGCCAGAACAAACUGUGACCCUGAACUAUCGCCCGGCCUCUUCAUAGGUUGUUGACACUGAAGCAGGUUGCACAGUA
ensembl:snoRNA small nucleolar RNA, H/ACA box 80B